CUACGGAGGAUCCGAGCGUUAUCCGGCUUUAUUGGGUUUAAAGGGAGCGUAGGCGGGAGAUCAAGUCAGCUGUGAAAUGUAGAUGCUCAACAUCUGCACUGCAGUUGAAACUUGUUUUCUUGAGUGCGUAAGGGGCAGGCGGAAUUCGUCGUGUAGCGGUGAAAUGCUUAGAUAUGACGAAGAACUCCGAUCGCGAAGGCAGCCUGCCGGGCCGCGACUGACGCUGAAGCUCGAAGGUGCGGGUAUCGAACAGGAUUAGAUACCCUGGUAGUCCGCACAGUAAACGAUGGAUACUCGCUGUCGGCGAUAUACGGUCGGUGGCCAAGCGAAAGCGUUAAGUAUCCCAACUGGGGAGUACGCCGGCAAAGGUGAAACUCAAAUGAAUUGACGGG
rnacentral:rRNA from 1 species